rnacentral:misc_RNA from 1 species
CGUGGGAUCAACAUCACCCAGCACUUCACCACUGCGACACCUCCUUAACUUCCGUGAGCCAAAGGGGACAGGACACGCGCAGCUAAGGUGGCAGUGCAGGUGGGCGUCCCAGGCGGCUCGGAAAAGUGGGACAAAAUCGCCAUUGCUAUGCGUCCCGGCACUCGUCCAGCAGCGGGAAGGUCAGGGCUGCCUUCAACUUGCCCUUGUGUUCCUCGGCAAGAAGACAAUCACUACACAAGGCUUCAAUGGGAGUGUGUUAAUAGCAGCCAAGAUAGAGCGGACAGCGGAGUGAAAAUACGAACCACGAGUCUAAAGGUGCCUUGCUCGGACCAUGAUCCAGUAAGGCCGUGACCAUAAGCGAGUCAGGAAUGCAAAAGGAUCCCUCCCAGCAGUCACUCCUCUCCUGAAGGCGCUCGGCAUCAUGACCCAUUUUUAUCCCCGGGCGUGUGGGCAGCGCGGCCAGAAAGGUGUUAUCUCUAUGCAAUCCUGCCACUCACACACGAGAAACGGGAUGACUGGCUCGUGGUGCCGGCCAUCCCCUGCCCCUGCCUCUCACGACUUUACUUCAGCGGUGGGCGGCGCGGCGAAGGUGGCUCAAGGGAUAUACUGGAGUGCUGGCCCUGUCAUUCCCCACUGGCGGGAGAAGAGGGUUGUGUGUGUGUGUGUGUGUGUGUGUGUGUGUGUGUGUGUGUGUGUGUGUGUGUGUGUGCGUGUGCGUGUGCAUGUGUGUGUGUGCGUGCCAGAAAGGACGCAUCGAUUCUCAGCCUAUAGAGAGAAAGUCAUCAAAAAAACACUAAAAGGAUUGAUUAACUGAUUGAUCUCAUUUACUCGCCGCAACAAAAAGAAGUCACGUAAUAGAUGGUCGCGUAGAAAGGUGAGAACAAAGGUAGGAGUUGGUGGUGUUUCGUGACAGACAGUUUUUCCUUUCUUACCCCGUGCAGUGUGUGUGCCUGCCAUUAUACUCCUGCCCGCGAGUGGCUUGAAGGCGGAAGUGGUGCAAGGAAAGGCCACUCAUUAUUUCAAAAGUAAGCUGGACUAAAUGGGAUAUGAAAGAAAAUGCAAAAGGAAAACAAGUAAAGAUAGAAGUAAAAGGUUCUCGCUGUGCAUUCCCGCUGGAGAGAACUAUAGGUAAAUUACCACCAAGGACUUUUGCCACCUAGGACUUCUCAACUCGUUCCUCUCUACCUCCACGAUAUCUAUUCAUUUUCUUUUUAAAACUAUGACGAAAACUAUUGAAAACGUCAUCGUAAUUGAGUCAUAUGGUAAAAAAUGCAACUAUUCACGAUUUUCUCUCUCUCUCUCUCUCUCUCUCUCUCUCUCUCUCUCUCUCUCUCUCUUUCAUCCCCUCCCAGGCACACCUAAGGAAACUCUCGCGUCCAUUUUCUCAGCAAGUUUCUCAAGGUGAAGUUUACAUGACAUGUUUUCUGCGUCAAAGUAAAGAGAGACCGUCUUGAUGCUGAAACCCAAGACACCACCGCCACCACCGCCAAAUUUACUUCUGCUCAGUCUUUUAUUUUCUUAUCAACUCCCUUUUAUUUUCUAUUCUAUCGUUCUCUCUUCUCCCUCUAUUACAGUUUCAUCAUCUCCAGUCUAUUCGUGUACCUAUUUACUUAUCUCUGUUCUUAAUUACGAUUCCCAUGAUGAUGAAAAUGGUGUUGAUUACGUUAAUGUAAUGACGAUUAUUGGUUUACGUAUACAACCAUCAUUACACCUGCAUACAUUAGCAUAAUAUUGCAAUGAAAAUCGUGUGUGUGUGUGUGUGUGUGUGUGUGUGUGCAGAAUCUGACCUACAUUCGGUUCUGUCUCCUUAGUGGUUCUAAUCAUCGUAUUUACCUUAAUCAAGUUUACUUUUGAAAUCAGGCGUGUGUUCUUUUCCUUGCAAUAAUUCAGACAGAUCUGUUUUCGAAUCAAAUCAUUACAGGUUUCAAUGUUUCUGUUUAAAGACACACACA